CGGCCGGGUCUCGGAGAAGAGGAGAGAGUAGCGGGCUGCUGAAUAAGCUUCCAAAAUGAUGCCCACGCCAGUUAUCCUAUUGAAAGAGGGGACUGAUAGCUCCCAAGGCAUCCCCCAGCUUGUGAGUAACAUCAGUGCCUGCCAGGUGAUUGCUGGAGCUGUAAGAACCACCCUGGGUCCCCGUGGCAUGGACAAGCUUACUGUGGAUGGCAGAGGCAAAGCAACAAUUUCUAAUGAUGGGGCCACAAUUCUGAGACUUCUUGAUGUUGUCCAUCCUGCAGCAAAAACUUUGGUAGACAUUGCCAAAUCCUAAUCAUCAUUCAAGCUUUCCGCACAGCCACCCAGCUGGCAGUUAACAAGAUCGAAGAGAUUGCUGUGACUGUGAAGAAGGCAGAUAAAGUGGAGCAGAGGAAGCUUCUGGAAAAGUGUGCCAUGACUGCUCUGAGCUCCAAGCUGAUCUCCCAGCAGGAAGUUUUCUUUGUUAAGAUGGUGGUGGAUGCAGUGAUGAUGCUCAAUGAUUUGCUGCAGCUUAAAAUGAUUGGAAUCAAGAAGAUACAGGGUGGAGCCCUUGAGGAUUCUCAGCUGGUAGCUGGUGUUGCAUUCAAAAGACUUUCUCUUACGCUGGGUUUGAAAUGCAACCCAAAAAGUACCACAAUCCCAAGAUCGCCCUUUUGAAUGUCGAGCUCGAGUUGAAAGCUGAGAAAGACAAUGCCGAGAUAAGAGUCCACACAGUUGAGGAUUAUCAGGCAACUGUUGAUGCUGAAUGGAACAUUCUCUAUGACAAGUUAGAGAAGAUCCAUCAUUCUGGAGCCAAAGUUGUCUUGUCCAAACUCCCCAUUGGGGAUGUGGCCACCCAGUACUUUGCUGACAGUGACAUGUUCUGUGCUGGCCGAGUACCUGAGGAGGAUCUGAACAGGACAAUGAUGGCCUGUGGAGGCUCAAUCCAGACCAGUGUGAAUACUCUGUCAGCAGAUGUGCUGGGUCGAUGCCAGGUGUUUGAAGAGACCCAGAUUGGAGGCGAGAGGUACAAUUUUUUUACUGGCUGCCCCAAGGCCAAGACAUGCACCUUCAUCCUCCGUGGUGGUGCCCAGCAGUUUACGGAGGAGACAGAGCGGUCCCUGCAUGAUGCCAUCAUGAUCAUCAGGAGAACUAUCAAGAAUGAUUCAGUGGUGGCUGGUGGCGGGGCCAUUGAGAUGGAGCUCUCCAAGUACCUGCGGGAUUACUCAAGGACUGUUCCAGGGAAACAGCAGCUGUUGAUUGGGGCGUAUGCCAAGGCCUUGGAGAUUAUCCCACGCCUGCUGUGUGACAAUGCUGGCUUUGAUGCUACUAACAUUCUCAACAAGCUGUGGGCUCGGCAUGCCCAGGGGGGCACAUGGUAUGGGGUGGACAUCAACAACGAGGACAUUGCUGACAACUUUGAGGCCUUCGUGUGGGAGCCAGCUAUGGUGCAGAUCAAUGCACUCACAGCAGCCUCUGAGGCUGCGUGCCUGAUCAUGUCUGUAGAUGAAACCAUCAAGAACCCCCGCUCGACUGUGGAUGCUCCCCCAGCAGCAGGCAGGGGCCGUAGUCAUGGCCGCCCGCACUGA